AUUUAACGCUGGCGGCAGGCCUAACACAUGCAAGUCGAGCGAGCGGCGGCCGGGUGCGUCAUGCCUGGGAAUUGCCCAGUCGAGGGGGAUAACAGUUGGAAACGACUGCUAAUACCGCAUACGAUUGGAUUGCCAAGGGGGGAUUAGCUAGUUGGUGAGGUAAUGGCUCACCAAGGCGACGCUCCCUAGCUGGUAUGAGAGGAUGAUCAGCCACACUGGAACUGAGACACGUUCCAGACUCCUACGGGAGGCAGCAGUGGGGAAUAUUGCAAAAUGGGGGAAACCCUGAUGCAGCCAUGCCGCGUGUGUGAAGAAGGCCUUCGGGUUGUAAAGCACUUUCAGCGAGGAGGCGUUACUCGCAGAAGAAGCACCGGCUAACUCCGUGCCAGCAGCCGCGGUAAUUC
rnacentral:rRNA from 1 species